AACGAACGCUGGCGGCAGGCCUAACACAUGCAAGUCGAGCGAGGACUUCGGUCCUAGCGGCGGACGGGUGAGUAGCGCGUGGGAACGUGCCCCUUGGUACGGAAUAGCCCCGGGAAACUGGGAGUAAUACCGUAUGAGCCCUACGGAGGAAAGAUUUAUCGCCAAGGGAUCGGCCCGCGUUGGAUUAGGUAGUUGGUGGGGUAAUGGCCUACCAAGCCGACGAUCCAUAGCUGGUUUGAGAGGAUGAUCAGCCACACUGGGACUGAGACACGGCCCAGACUCCUACGGGAGGCAGCAGUGGGGAAUCUUAGACAAUGGGCGCAAGCCUGAUCUAGCCAUGCCGCGUGAGCGAUGAAGGCCUUAGGGUUGUAAAGCUCUUUCAGCUGGGAAGAUAAUGACUGUACCAGCAGAAGAAGCCCCGGCUAACUCCGUGCCAGCCGCCGCCGUAA
rnacentral:rRNA from 1 species